AGCAAAAUAUGAGGAGAUGGCAAAGGGGUGGCCUGAGAAGAUAAAGCACGCACUUCAUGAGGAACAUGAGUUAAUACCUUCUCGUCGAACGUUUUAUAAUUGUGAUGGUUGUGGUGAAGAAGGAAAUAUCUGGUCCUUCUACUGCGAAGAGUGUGACUUUGAUCUUCAUCCAAAAUGUGCUCUGAAAGAAGGUGAGGAAACUAAAGAUGAUGGAAAGGAGGGUGAAAAGGAUGAAGCAAAACCUGGAGAAGGAUGGGACUGUGAUGGGGAGGUCUGUUACAAAGCCUGAGAAAU
rnacentral:misc_RNA from 1 species